rnacentral:tRNA from 2 species
GCACCCAUAGCUCAAUUGGAUAGAGCAUCGGUCUACGGAACCGAAGGUUAUCUGUUCGAAUCAGAUUGGGUGUA